UGAUGAUGAUGAUAGUGAUGAUGAUGAUGACGAUGGUGGUGGUGGUGGGAACGGUGUUCAUGACGAUGAAGAAGACGACGGGCUAUCAUCAUCAUCAUUGUCAUCAUCAUCAUCAUCGUCAUCA
rnacentral:pre_miRNA from 1 species